rnacentral:rRNA from 1 species
CCUACGGGAGGCAGCAGUCGAGAAUUAUUCACAAUGGGGGAAACCCUGAUGCUGCGACGCCGCGUGGGGGAAUGAAGGUCUUCGGAUUGUAAACCCCUGUCAUGUGGGAGCAAAUUAAAAAGAUAGUACCACAAGAGGAAGAGCCGGCUAACUCUGUGCCAGCAGCCGCGGUACUACAGAGGGCUCAAGCGUUGUCCGGACUCACUGGGCGUAAAGGGUGCGUAGGCUGUUUAGUAAGGAGUGUGUGAAAGGCGCGGGCUCAACCCGCGGACGGCACAGGAUACUACGGUACUAGAGUAAUGGAGGGGGAAGCGGAAUUCUUGGUGUAGCAGUGAAAUGCGUAGAUAUCGAGAGGAACACUCGUGGCGAAGGCGGGUUCCUGGACAUUAACUGACGCUGAGGCACGAAGGCCAGGGGAGCGAAAGGGAUUAGAUACCCGGGUAGUC